rnacentral:tRNA from 1 species
AUCAGUGUGGCAGAUAAAUUGCAAUUGACUUAAACUCAAUACAUAAUUUUAAAUUCUCUGAUA